rnacentral:rRNA from 1 species
GUCCACGCCGUAAACGAUGAGUGCUAGGUGUCGGCGAGCAUGCUCGUCGGUGCCGCAGCUAACGCAUUAAGCACUCCGCCUGGGGAGUACGGCCGCAAGGUUAAAACUCAAAGGAAUUGACGGGGGCCCCGCACAAGCGGUGGAGCAUGUGGUUUAAUUCGAAGCAACGCGCAGAACCUUACCAGCCCUUGACAUGCCCGUCGCGGGGACGAGAGAUCGACCCCUUCGGUUCGGCCGGACGGUGCACAGGUGCUGCAUGGCUGUCGU